AAACAGCAGACGAUCGCACGAGCAGCGCUUUGAAGACGCUGUCGGUUUGUUUGAAAGUAAUGGGGGGGAAAAAAUCCAUAAAAGCAAACCCUCUGGCUGGAUUAGGAACAGUACAAAAACAAUAACAAUAAUAAUCACUUAUAAGUUAAUGUCUGCGUCCUUCAAAACUAUAUUGGUUAAAAAAAAAGUGCAACUGUUUUCGUCAUAUUAAAAGGUGACAGUCCACCAAGAAUGAAUUUCACAAGCCAUGUAGACAGAUGACAUCCUCAUUGAUUCGGCACACUCAUCCAGUUUCUACAAUUCCCAAUUAAAUAACGGUCGUUUUGUGCUUCUGUUUUUCACUUUUGAGUGGAGAUGGAGGAAUGGAAUACUGAAGCACUUUUGCACCCCCUUAAUUCCAAUUUGAAUUGAAUUGAAUGCCGCAUCCUAUUUGAGUAUCACUGUUGACCACAUGAAUUCCUUGAUGACCACAAUUUACCCAUCUUCUGAUGGCUACUUCCAGUGUGAUAAUACAGCAUGUCACAAACUGGCUUCAUGAACAUAAUAAUAAGAUGACCAGGGACCUUGCCCCACCUGGAUCAGGGAAGGUCUGGGAAAGGGGCAAUAUCUUCCCUGGAUCCAAGAGGGCAGCCCCCCUGAUUUUCAUCAAGGGCCACGGAGACGGAGCUGGGAAACUCAACCCUGUGGGGGUCCAUGGCCCAACCAAGGGGCUGCCUGGAUGGUUCCUGAGCCCUGGAGGACAG